rnacentral:rRNA from 1 species
CGCUGGCGGCAGGCCUAACACAUGCAAGUCGAGCGGUAGAGAGGUGCUUGCACCUCUUGAGAGCGGCGGACGGGUGAGUAAUGCCUAGGAAUCUGCCUGGUAGUGGGGGAUAACGCUCGGAAACGGACGCUAAUACCGCAUACGUCCUACGGGAGAAAGCAGGGGACCUUCGGGCCUUGCGCUAUCAGAUGAGCCUAGGUCGGAUUAGCUAGUUGGUGGGGUAAUGGCUCACCAAGGCGACGAUCCGUAACUGGUCUGAGAGGAUGAUCAGUCACACUGGAACUGAGACACGGUCCAGACUCCUACGGGAGGCAGCAGUGGGGAAUAUUGGACAAUGGGCGAAAGCCUGAUCCAGCCAUGCCGCGUGUGUGAAGAAGGUCUUCGGAUUGUAAAGCACUUUAAGUUGGGAGGAAGGGCAGUAAAUUAAUACUUUGCUGUUUUGACGUUACCGACAGAAUAAGCACCGGCU